GAGUUUGAUCCUGGCUCAGGACGGACGCUGGCGGCGUGCCUAACACAUGCAAGUCGAACGGGGAUAUUGAUUUCGGUUGAUAUCCCAGUGGCGAACGGGUGAGUAACGCGUGAGCAACCUGACCUUUUGAGGGGGAUAACACCUGGAAACAAGUGCUAAUACCGCAUAAGACCACGGAGCGGCAUCGUUCAGGGGUCAAAGGAGGAAUCCGCAGAAGGAGGGGCUCGCGUCCCAUUAGAUAGUAGGCGGGGUAACGGCCCACCUAGUCGACGAUGGGUAGCCGAGCUGAGAGGCUGAUCGGCCACACUGGAACUGAGACACGGUCCAGACUCCUACGGGAGGCAGCAGUGGGGAAUAUUGGGCAAUGGGCGCAAGCCUGACCCAGCAACGCCGCGUGAGCGAUGAAGUAUUUCGGUAUGUAAAGCUCUAUCAGCAGGGAAGAAAAUGACGGUACCUGACUAAGAAGCCCCGGCUAACUACGUGCCAGCCGCCGCGGUAAUAC
rnacentral:rRNA from 1 species